rnacentral:lncRNA from 1 species
UCUUAACUCCAGAAAGAUUGCCACAUCGGGAAAAAAAUGGCUCUUCGCUCCAGAAAGGUUGCCGACCCCUGCACUAGGAUAAUGAUUGUGGUAGUUGAGAGUAAGCAUGUUGUUUUUCAAACUGGCUAUUUAUGAUUCUAAACAUCCAGAGUGUGAUGCAGAAGUGCACCAUAUUGCAUGAAUCAGAAACCAGAGUCCAUUUCUAGAUUGUGUAGCAUAGCUUUGAAGGAAUUGUUUGUUACAGUGGAGUCAGAAAAAAUCAGACCAAACAUCUUGUUCCUGCAGAUAGCUGCCCAAACUGUAACUUUAACUGGAUGCUGUGUUUCAAUGAAACUAGUUUCUCCAAUUCCCAUAUUCAGUAAUUCUGUUAAUAUAUCCGGAUAACCAGAAAUGGGCUUUGAACGAAACACAAUCCACGUUCCAUUGUUUAUCAAUAAAUUCAACAAUUCCCUUUUUUCAAUUAACACUUCAAAAUCUUAAUGAAGUGUUUGAAUUUCGUACAGGAAUAACUGAAGAUCUUUUUAAGAUUGAAUGGAGCAGAUCAAUGCUUACCUCUAGUUAACUGGCCAAUUUUUGUUUUGAAGUUGUUGGAUUAUCAAUCAGUCCUCUGUGCUUAGUCCACAUUCUGAUGUCCUGGCUGAUUUUGGUGCACUCAUCUUUUCUUUAUGAGCAUUGCAAAUAGAACCACUUCUCUUAAAUUUCCUAAUCAGGACCAGAACUGUUGCCUUUGAUGACUUUCGAAGAUUCUUGUAGCUGUUGACUAUUUUUUCAGUGUUUCAGAAGGACUUGUUUGUUUGAUAUAAAGUUUUCACAAGAAAAAUGUAUUGUUAAAUUGCAUAUGCAUCUUGACAGUUCAUUUCAAUACAAUCAAACUUAACACUUAAUCAAUUACCUACAAGCAUGAAGAACGACUGAAAAUAUUGCCCUCUUGUGCAUAUUUCAAAUGUUAUUCCAAAAUUAUCAAACAUGCUAUACAUACA